CCGGGUGUGGUGCAGCCAGUUUCGUCCAGGCCGGGAGUUCGUUGCUUCCUCUUCUCUGCGUGCGGCUGUCAUCGCGAUUUGUUUUUAGGUGGCUGUGCAUUCCACUGCACCAGGGUUGAUGUCGUCUAAGAUGUCGUGAUGGUGGCAGCAUCAACAUUACAGUCCACAGACUGGGCAGUCCCCAGACCUCUUAACGGUUCCAGAGAGUUCUCUGGCCAAAGACUGGUGCUGCAUCUGUUGGCCAAUGUUGACAAUCUCAUCAAAGGUGACACUUGCCCUGUGCUUGAUGCUUUUCUACUUCUUUCUGUCUCCUGGCAUUCCUCGAGGACUUCGAUGAUCAGGGCAGAGGCGGAAGCUACCCCCUCAGUCUGGGCCUGUCUGUUCUGAAUGGUCAGUUUCGCUGCUGUCCUCAGACCCAGGCACCAGUUGCUUUGGCGAUGUCAUCACCAAACUUUUUGGGAGACAGACGCAGAGGGCUGAUCUUGGGGGAUGUGGCAGCAGCUUUCCCACCAGUGCACCUCAAGUACACAACUUUGAAAAACCAUGGCGAGGGGCUGGCCCUGUGGCCGAGUGGUUAAGUUCACGCGCUCCGCUGCAGGCGGCCGAGUGUGUCAUUGGUUUGAAUCCUGGGCGCGGACAUGGCACUGCUCAUCAAACCACGCUGAGGCGGCAUCCCACAUGCCACAACUAGAAGGACCCACAACGAAGAAUAUACAACUAUGUACCGGGGGGCUUUGGGGAGAAAAAGGAAAAAAAAAAAUCUUAAAAAAAAACAAAAAAGAAAAAAAAAAUGAAAAACCAUGGCGAGGUGGCCAUGCCAGAAGCCUUGACGGUGCGUGUGUUGUCAGGCCUGAGGGCCUCGAACACCCUUGUCCGGGGCAGUGCUAACCUCUCUCCUUUUACACAACUCUCCUCGGUCUCCUAAUCUGGAACAAUCUCCUGCCUUUUUUAUCUCCUAAGGCAUUGACUUUGAAGAAUCAAGCUAGCUGACUUAAGAAAUGUCCCCUAUUCUGGAUUCAUCGGAUUGUUUCCUUAUGAAAGUGUGCCAUUUUGAAAAAUAUAUAGUAGAACGCAUUUAUCUGCCAAUUUGCGCUGCCGUCUCCACCCGUCCCUCCGUCGUCUUUCCAGCUCAGCUGAUGGCUCCAGCAUGUCUUCGUGUCCAGCUGGGCCUUCACCUCUCUCUUCUCCUCCCUCCUGCGCAGCCCGUCCACUCAGCCUCGAAAACAUAGCCAGACUCUGGCAGCCCUGCCUCCCUGCCGAUGCCCUGGUCCAAGCCACCGAUUUCUCUAUCGGAACCCCCAAGCUGGGCUCUCUGCUCUCACGUGGGCCUGGACACUCCACUCCUCUCAGUCUGGGUGCAGAUUUCUAGAGAGAUGAUGACUUGAGCCCGUGUCCCUCGUUCCUCACUUCCGACUCUCUCUUUGGGCAAAAACAACAACCAGGAAAGGAAGACACAUGGGGUUGAACGACAGGAGGAAGGGGAUGAGCCUUGGGACCCCCAGAAGGUGACAGUGUGCCUCACCGGCCGUCGUGUCUGAGUCUUCCUGCUUGCUGGGUUGCCAGUCCCAGUCAGCUGUUGAAAAUGAGAAGGGUUCUCCUCCCCCAGCUUAACAUUCCGCCAAGACCACCCGCCACGCUGCUUAGAGCACGCUCCCAGCUCCUGGCCCUGGGCAGCCAGCUCGGCACGGCCCUUCUGCCCACCGCUCGCUCGCCCUCAAUCACUCGGUUUUCUUUCUGGCUCCUGAGCAGGCUGAGCCUUUUUCUGCCUCAGGGCCUUUGCAGUCUCCUCUGCCUGGAAUGUUCCCCCCCCGCCCUCCCAUCCCCGAUCUUCUCACCAGAGGCCCCUUCUCCUCCUGCAGGUCUCAACUGGAACCUCCCUUCCCUGACCACCAUUUUAAACUAGUCCACUUGCCCCCAACUACUCGCUCUCUCAUUCCGUGAUCCACGUCUAUAUCCUUCGCAGCACUCCCUUAUCUGGCGCUCCAGUAUCUGGAACUCUCUGACUGGUUGUGUGUGCGCACCCCACGAGAAUACUGAUACCCACCCAGGCUGAGCACUCACACUGCACCCCGCGCGGUUCUGAGCAUGCGCUUUAGCUUCUAGCUUCACAACAGCCCUGGGAGGAAGGCACGAUGCUCUCUCAGAUUUCACUGGUGUGGAAACUGAGGCACAGAGAGGUAAUGUGGGGUCACCAGGGAGUCUGGCUCCAGCUCCGAGUUCUUGACCGUGACACUCUCAGAACCUGCAUUUAAGCACCGCAAAGAUUAGGGCUUUUUCUGUUACUUUCUCUGCUCCGAUGGCAGCUUUCGGCACUGAGGACCCAAACGGCCUGAAUCGGGCUCCAAUCCCAAGAAACAGCAUUUCAUCUUCUUGCUGGGACGGGCGGCGGAGCCAUUUCAGCAAGCCAAGGGCCUCAGGAACAGUUCACCAGGUCGCACGUUUGGGAGUGGCAGAGUCAACGGCUUCAGGGAGCUCUCGGGAAUAGGUUGCUGGUGUGGAAAAACCAAAGCCGAGGCCAGGCUGCUGCAGGUUCGUGGCUGACUCUAAGAAGCUAACCAUGUGUGGCUAUUUAAACAUAGAUUAGGGGCGGGCCUGGUGGCGCAGGGGUUAAGUGCGCACAUUCUGCUACUUUGUGGCCCGGGGUUUGCGGGUUCGGAUCCCAGGUGCGGACAUAGCACCGCUUGUCAAGCCAUGCUGUGGUAGGCAUCCCACAUAGAAAGUGGAGGAAGAUGGGCACAGAUGUUAGCUCUGGGCCAGUCUUCCUCAGCAAAAAGAAAAAGGAGGAUUGGCAGCAGAUGUUGGCUCAGGGCUAAUCUUCCUCAAAAAAAUAAAUAAAAAUAAAAAAUAAAUGUAAAUUAAUUAAAAUGAAAUAGAAUGUGUUCCUCAAUUGCACUAGCUACCUUUCCACUCUCAGUAGAAGCAUAAGGCUAGGGGCUGCCCUACUUGACAGCACAGAUCUAGAACAUUCUCAGAUCUAGAACAUUCUCAUCAUGCCGGAAAGUUCUGUUGGACAGUGCCAGUGUAGAUGGACCGUGAUUUCGCUUUCCUGGAGGUGAAUCACAAAGGUCACGGCGGGGUAUUUAUCCAAAUUAUUCAUAGGACAUUGCCCGGCAGUGGGCUUCUUCCAGCCAUGGACAAGGAUCUUCUUCUGGAGAACUGUGUCCCCACUGACCUGGCAUUUGUCUGAAAUUCCGUAUUUCCAAGAACUCCCUUGCAAUGGGGUACCUGAGUUAAUGUUUACACCAAAAAUGUUAGGGGCCUUCCAGAACCUUGACAGGACUGUUGAAUUCGAGAAAACACUCUGCAGACCUCUGCUGGGACACAUUGCUGCAGCCCGAGGAGGCGGGGAGGAAGCAGAGACGGGAAGGAGCUGGCCAGCUUCCUGCCUGGCUUUCAGAUGGGCUGGGGUGCUCACACACUGCCUUUGGGGCUACGAGCUGCCCCGCCGGCCGCCACCUGAUCUCUGUAACACACUGUCUAAAUUGCCUCCUGAUGGCGGGUCGUGAUCGCGAGUGGCGAAGGCCUCCGUCCAGCACGGCAUGUUGUCCUUCACUGCUUGUUCAUUGUCAAGCUGUGUAGAUGAGGUCCGGGGGCAGAUCUGUGAGUUUAGGGACAAAGAAGAACAAAUCCUUUUGGCCAGGGGGUGAGGGUGGGAAGCAAGUCCCGAAUGCUUAUUUAUGAAGCACGGGUUGUUUCCUUGUUUCCAAGGCAGCCACGGCUUCGCGGAGCUGAUGGAGCGCAUCCUUCUUGUCAGAACUGAAACAACUACUUUUAGAAAGGCAUGCGUGUGCGUGUGAAAAAUUAAAAAUGGAAGACAGUAAACAGGGCGUUUUUCUCUUGCGUCCCUGUCUGUGGCCCUCUGUUCCCUCUGACUUAGUCUGUUCGGGCAGCUGGAGCAAAGCACCACCCACUGGGGGCUUCCACAGCAGACAUUUGCUCCUCACAAUUCUGGAGGCUGAAGUCCCACGUCAAGAUGUCAGCAGACCUGGGCGCUGGUGCGAGCCGCCUUCCUGGUCCCUGGACGGCUGUGUGCUCUGUGUCCUCGUGGUGGAAGCAGCCAAGCUGCUCUCUGGGGUCUUUCUCAUCAGCUCACUAAUCCCAGGGUGAGGGCUCCACCCUUACGGCCUAAUCUCCUCCUGGAGGCCCUCCUCCCGUUCCAUCACAUCGAGGGGAGGUUUCAGCACAGGAAUUGCGGGUGGAAAAGGAGUUCAGACCGUAUCAGUUCCCCUCCCACAUGGGUACCAGUUUCUUGUGUGCCCUGGAAAUUCCAUGUAUUUGCAAGGCUGUUUACAUUCCCUUUUCCCUACGUAAAUGAAAGCAUAUCAUGUACACUCUUUAUAACUUGCUUUUUUUGCUUAGGAAUAUAGUUUGAGAAGAACUUUUUUAUUAGUAUAUGUAGAUCUGUCCCAUUCUUGUUCCCAGGUACAAAAUAUUGUGUUGUGUCAGACCAGCGCCCUGUGCAGCGGUUAAAUUCACAUGUUUCGCUAUGGCGGCCUGGGGUUCUCUGGUUCGGAUCCCGGGUGCGGACAUGGCAUCACUUGUCAAGCCAUGCUGUGGCAGGCACCCCAUGUAUAAAGUAGAGGAAGAUGGGCAUGGAUGUUAGCUCAGGGUCAGUCUUCCUCAGCAAAAAGAGGAGGAUUGGCAUUAGUUAGCUCAAGGCUAAUCUUCCUCAAAAAAAAAAAAAUUCUAUUGUGUAGAUUUGUACUAACAGUGCAGCCACUAAUCACAUGUGGCUGUUUAAAUUUAAAUUAAGUAAAAUUUAAUAAAAUUCGUUUCUCAAUUGCUAGCCAUAUUUCAAGUGCUCAGUAGAAGGGUUUGACUGAAGCUAACACACAGAACAGAUGGUGCUGGUGCGGAUGGGCCGUAACUUAGUAAGGCAAUCCCCUACUGCUGGAUAUUCACCUUGCUUCCAAUAUUUUGCUACUAUAAUCAGUGCAACAAAGGCUACUGUUGCACCUAGAUCUUUGCCCGUGUGCGUGUGUGUCUGAAAGAUAAACUUCUCAGGGGAACUCGCUGGGUCAAAGGGCAUAUGCAUUUUCAAUGUACACACCCUUUGCCAAAUCCCCCUCCACAGAGGUUAUACAAAUUUACCCUGCUGCCAGCCGGAGUCCACACCGCCGGCCUCCCGCCCCUGGGCCGGCACAGGGGGCUUCUCAGACUUUGAUCUCUGCCCGUCCCCUAGGUGAACAACGGUAUCUCAUAUAGUUUUAGCCUAAAAGUUAUUUUACGUUUCCCCCUAACACGAUAAGGACCUCAUUCAUUAUUCCCCUUGACAAAGUCACUUUCAACGUGAAAAACAUUUCUCGGAGCUUUUUUGUGUCUCACUUGGAGACUUUGUCCUCCGGGAGGGCGUCUCAUGUUUGUAUUGAUUGCCUCAUCCAUCACGGCUGUUGAACUGUGCGCUGCUAAUGAUUAGCUAUGGUGGGUGCAGAGGAACAGGUGAAACUGGACGUGGAGGGCUCAGCGCGGUGCCCGGCAGUGAGGGUGCCCGGCUGUCACUUCUGAAAGAACGUGUGAUGUUUUCCACGGGAGGCUUAGCUACCAGGUGCGGCUUGUUCGCUGGCCUGAACAAGCAAGGGCUGUUCCCUGGCCUCAGCCUCAGUGACUGGGUCACUGAUUUGCUCUUGGAAUCCAAAAUUCAUGCAGCCGCAGGCACACUGGACUGUUGACGUAGGUCCGCAGCGGCGCUAUCCCAACAGCCGAAAGGUGGGAACACCCCAAACGUCCACCGAUGGCCGAAUGGAUAAAUAAAAUGUGGUCCAUCCAUACAAAGGAGGAGUAUUCAGCCAUGAAAAGGAAGGGAAUUCUGACACACGCUGCAACAUGGACGAAUCUUGAGGCCAUUACGCUGAGUGAAAUAAGCCAGUCACAGAAGGACAAAUGCUGUGUGAUUCCAGUCAUGUGAGGGACCAGGAGGAGUCAAACUCAUGGCGACAGAGAGAGGAAGGGGGGUUGCCAGGGGCUGGGACGGUCAGUGGGAAGUUGUUGCUGAAGGGGGACAGAGUGUCAGUUGGGAAAAUGGAAGAGUUCCGGACACGGAUGGUGGGGAGGGUUGCAAACAAUGUCAGUGUACUUAACGCCCCUGAACUAAACACUCGGAAAACGGUUAAAAUGGUAAAAUAUAUAUAUAUGUAUAUAGUGGCAAGACAUAGAAAAGUGGUUAGGAAAUAGGCAGAG
rnacentral:lncRNA from 1 species